rnacentral:rRNA from 1 species
GCAAAAGGUUUUCUUGGGCCCAUAAAAAAAUUGGUCUUUGAGUGCAAAAAUAUAAGGGAGCUUGACUGCAAGAUCCACUUGUCAAACAAGUAAGAAAAUCGAACUUGUU